rnacentral:lncRNA from 1 species
UUCGGGUUCGGUACUGUCACCAUCUCUCUCUCUCUCUCUCUGAUUCACACGCGCUCUCUCUUUCCCUCGGUGUGGACGCGCGCACCUGAACCCAAUCAGCCGAGCUCUCGUUGCCGCAUCGCUGACCCGUCGUCCAGGCGGGCGCCGCGUCAGUUCCCCAGCGCCACGGUGCCGCCGGCCACCGCCAUUCCAUUGGCUUGGAUUCGGUUGUGGCGCGGGCAGGGAACCGUAGGGUGAUUGUCUGAUGUGUCGUCCGUGCGGGGGGUUUGGUCGGUCGAGGCCUGGUAUAAUACAUAUGCCACCAUUGUACAUGCCCUGAGCAGGAUGGAUGGAUGCAUGCAUACUCCCGUCUAGAUACAUCCUCUUUUAUCCAUUUCGAUGACAAGUAUUUUCGGACGGAGGGAGUACAUGAUAUCAUGUUGCUUGGUGUGCAGCAGGCGAUGAUGAUGAUGAUGUUGACGACUGUGGCUAAAAUAAGUUGUCUUGAGCAAUCAAGACGGCCUAUAGCCAGCAGCCAGCUAUACUAUUAACCAUGCUCUAAAUAGAAUCGGUGGCCGCGUUGGAGUUGGCCUUAGAGCCCACCCUUACCUCUCUUGUAGCCUGUUCAAUUCAUGGCUGAUGUUGGAUGGCUGUCCCUCGGAUGGUCACUCUGAUGAGUGAUAACCAGGGCAGUUCUCUUAUAUCGCGAUGGGUAGAUUAUGCAGCAAGAGAUGUGAGUGUUGGGUUUGAAGAUGUAAUGCACAACUGAGCCAUCUUUUGCUUACGAUCUUUGUAACCUCUCCCUCUCUCUCUCUCUUCAAACCCUAAACCAAAUCAGUUGAGUUCUCAGUGCCGACUAGCUGACCCAUUGGAUGGGUGGUCGCUGUGUCAGCUCCACACCGCUACGGCGCCAGCCACCGCCAUUCCACUGCCUUGGAUUUGGUUGUGGCGUGGGCUGGGAACCGUACGGUGUUGUCUGAUGCGUCGUCUGAGCGGGAGGUUUGGUUGGUCGAGGCCAGGUAUGAGCAGUUCCGGAGAUGGAUGGAUGGAUGGAUGGACGGAUGGGUGUAUGCAUGCCUGCAUGUAUGUAUAUCAUGGUCAUGUUGCUUGUGGUUCGGCGUGCUUUUGGGAAAAAAAUGAGGGGCGAUGAUGAUGCGUGUGGCUGAAAUAAUUAUGUCUUGAGCAAUCCAGACAGCCGUGGCGUAUGGGUACUAAAUAGGGCCCGAAUGGGUGCGCCCACGUUGGAGAUGCCCUUAAGAGCCCACCCUUACCUCUCUUGCAGCCUGGUCACUUCAUCGCUAAUGUUGGAUGUUCUGCGCCUUGGACGGUCAUUCUGAUGAGUGAUAACCAGGUCAGUUCUCUUACACCGCGAUGCGUAGAUCAUGCAGCAAGACUUGUGAGUGUUGGGCUUCAAGAUGACACGCAUACUGAGCCCUCUUUGCUACGCUACAAAUACUCUUAUAUUUGUGAAUGGAGGGAGUAUCUAUCUAUCUAUCUAUCUAUCUAUCUAUCUAUCUAUCUAUCUAUCUAUCCAUAUCAGGGGAGAUGAUGGUCAAACAUGUCUGAUAUGAACUUGUCUUAGAUUAUUCGAGGAGCUGUGGGUAUCAAAAACCCGAUCUCCUCUCUUUUGGGACCUUUUCAUUCUCACCGAAUAUUGACGGCUCUGUCUUGGAUGGUCAUUCUGUUGAGUAAUAACAAGCAGAGCUUGACUUCAAUGGUGGGGUUUGAUCUGGUCAAGGAAGAUGGUGGAGCUAGUAUGAUCUAUCAAAGGCGAAUCUGAGCCCUCCUACAUCUGAUUCAUAAAAAAGUUAGAACAUCUUAUAUUUGUGAACAGAGGGAGUAUCUAUCUAUGAGGGGCGAUGAUGAUCAAACAUGGCUGACAUAAACCUGUCUUCGAUUAUUUGAGGAGCUGUGGGUAUCAAAACCCGAUCUCCCCUCUUUUCGGACCUUUUCAUUCUCACUGAAUAUUGGCGGCUCUGUCUUGGAUGGUCAUUCUGUUGAGUGAUAACCAGCAAAGCUUGACUUCAAUGGUGGGGGAUGAUCUGGUGAAAGAAGAUGGUGGGGCUAGUAUGAUCUAUCAAAGGCGAAUCUGAGCCCUCUCAAUGCACAACUAAUACUGUGCGCUCCCACAUCCAAUUUAUAAAAAAGUUAUUAUGUUUAAAGUGAUAAAUUAUCGUGGUGUUUGGUUUGCCUUCUCCUGAUUUUGUGGUCCAUGGAGGGACCAGUUUUGUGCAUUCAGGCUUUGCUCAAGCUCGUCACAUUGUGGUGGUCCUAGUAUUGGUAGUGGUUGAAUGUGUUUACUUCCUUCUUUUCAUGGGGUUAAAUGUGUGAAACAUGAUCAGCAAAUGUUUUGCCCUCUUUUCCUGUCUGCGCAUGUCCUCCUUUAUGUCCCUAUUAAAUUUCUAGUGGUUCUUAUGGCAGUGAUGGAAAUUCAAGUCUGCAAGUUUUCAACAUCUUUUCUACUGUCUUGGGCAUAGCACAGCAACUGCAAACUGGCCUCUAAGAAUACAAUUUGGCCGGUUUGCUUUUUUGCUGAUGACCAUUCUAAUGCUUAUAGAUGCCAAUACGUGGAAAACCACAAAAAUCUUGUGUUGCGAAAAUACCAUGACUAUCUUUACCUUUUUGAGAAUUUUUCUUUCUUGCCGGCUUGUAUCCAUGUAUACAUAAAAGAUAUGAUGAGAGUUUUUUUUCUAGUUCUUUCGGUAUGCAAAGGACUGCUUUGCAAGGUUACAUUUCGUUCUUUUUUCCUACCCAUUUUACCCAUUUUGUUGGUUUUGCUGUAUGUCAACCAGUUCUGUUGUUUUAGGAACAGUACUCACAUUUUCCUUCUGUUCUCCCUUUUUCUUGAAUGCUAUGAUAGUUCUGCUUUCCCUUGGAAAGUUUCGAAACUAUCUUAUUUGGUGCGGGGUCAGUUUUCUUCUUUCAAUUGCUAUUUGACUUUUGAUAAUUUCAUUCUUCUACUGUACUGUAUCCACUUAUCAGUUACUAGUAUUUUCGGAUAAUUUUACUUCUUUACUGAUUUCGACUUAAAGGUCAUAAAGGGCAAGUUCAGAUGCCAACAUUACUGUUUCCUUCCUGUCAUGUCCAUGAAUGGCUGUGUUGAUAUAGCUUCCCUGUGAGAGCUUCUGUCUAACACCUGAACUGAUUCAGUUGGUGCUAAACUAGGAGGGCUUGUGUGACAGCAAGUAACCAGUUUAGCGGCUAACUAUAAUUCUUAAAUGUUGGAAUUACGAACACUUAACAGUGGAGGGAGGGAGGGAGGGAGGGAGGGAGAGAGAGAGAUUCCAUGGUCCUUCUACCAGAAGUUCAGUUAUGGUGUUGAGCUGGGGGUAUAUCUGAGCCAUUUACUUGUACAUGUCCCAACUUUUGUGCCCACCAGAUCAUGAUUUGCUAUUGGCUUCUCUCUGUUAUUCUGUUUGUGGAAUUUGUGCUAGGUUCUGUUGAUGGCGAUGAUGAGUAAGGCUCAUUAGAGGUGUACUGAGUUCAGAUACUAUCGCUUGUUUUUACGGGUAUGGUUUUCGGUUAGGGUUUUUUGUGACUAGGUGGAUUGCUUUCUGUGAGCAACCAUUUCAAUGCUCAAAUGUCACACAGGGGUGUAAGGGCAUCUCCAACGCGGAUCACCAAGGAUACACUAUACAGAGUGGGUUGACCAUAUGAUAGACAAGCCAACUCUGAGCCUCCCAUUUUUAUUGAUAAAUAUGACCUCUCUUUCUACAAUUUGUGGUUAUUUGCUUAUGUAUAUUUUGGAAUAUUCUCAAUCUAUUAAUGAACUAUAGCAGUAUUGGGAUCUCACUGUAGUAUAUAUAUGUUAUCAUCUGUGGAACUUACAAGAUAUGCUCAUAGCAAACUGGAUUUUGUGCUAUUUUACACUUACAUACUCGGAAUGCUUUUACUUGCUGAUGCAUCAAGAGGUUCUACUUUAUUUGAGGGCCUUGGGAAGCGGCAGAGGGCUUCACAUCUUUUGUUCAAAAUAUGCUAUUAUUUGCAACUGUACGUCCUUUGUUACUUGCAUGUUCUGUUUCUAUGCUCAGCGUUCCCGUUUAGUCCUUCCUGUACUUUAUUUCGCGCAUGGUUUUCUUCCUUUUCGUACCUUUUUAUAUUGUAUAAAUUGUGCUACGUUGCUCUUUUUCAUUCAUGCAUCUGCUGCACUAUGGUCUAUGGCACCUCAAGCGUCAACCAAAAGAUAUUACAUUUGGUCUUCGAUGUCAUUAUAUAUUUCUAGGUUUGCCUCUUGUGUGUUUCCCUUUUUCUGUGCACCAUUGAUAUUUCCAGUAAUACUCCCUCCGUCCGAAAAUACUUGUCAUCAAAAUGAAUAAAAGGAGAUGUAUCUAGACGUAUUCUAGUUCUAGAUACAUCCCUUUUUAUCCAUUUCGAUGACAAGUAUUGUCGGACGGAGGGAGUAUGUGAUCUGAACUUCAGUGUACUGUGCAUCUUGAUCUCCUAUGUAGUUAAUUCCUUAGCUAUCAGUGGGUAACUUUUGACCUACUGCUUCCUUUAAUGAUAUACCCCCUCCGUCCCAUAAUGUAAGAUGUUUUUUGACACUACACUGUGUCAAAACGCCUUGCAUUAUGGGACGGAGGGAGUAAUUUUUAUGAAACGUAUAGGAAUAAACUUGCUCACCUAGAAACCUCGAUAUUAGAUUAUCACGAGCUACAAACGUAUGAACUACCACCAUGAAAUACUUCAAAGUCUAAUGAGUUCUGAUGAUGCUCUGUCAUGUAUUCUGGUGUGGUAAUAAUAAGUAUGCCUUGGAGCAGCGAUAGAGCUUUUUUAUGUGGCCGCCCUUCUCUGUAGUGAUGCCUGUUCAAGUCAUAUAUGCAAGUGUUGGUGGUGCUGUAAUUCAUUUGGUCAAUCUGGUAACAUGCAUGUCACAUUAGGAUGCAACGAGUGUGAGCGCAUAUGAGCAUUAAGAUGGAGAGAAUACUAGUAGGAAUUGCCAUGUCAGUGGCUUGGCUUUAUGCAUGAGCCCUCGGUGCAACUGUACUACCACACGAUCUGUACUUACAAUAUUAUGUUUUUGACAGCUACGUGCCUACAUGUUUACUACCAGAAUUUAGUGGCCUGUUGAUGCUGUUUGUAAAUUAUGUUGUUUGAGAUUAAAAAGUACUACUACCUCUGUUCCUAAAUGUAAGACGUUUUGGCAGUUUAAUUAACGUCUUACAUUUAGGACCACGGGGUGUAUUUCGUUUUGCGAGAACUACAGCUGUUGCUGGAUUUGCCCAUGUUUGAUAUUCUUGACUAUUAAUUUUCUCCCCAUAUACAUGUUCAGUGUUGCUAUGUAUGCACAUAUAUAAUGCCCAGUAAAUAUCAGAAUACGAAAGUGUUGCUGUACAUACACGUAGAUAAUGCCCAGUAAAUAUCAGCGUAACAAUUUGUACGGAAGAUUUUUAUUAUUCAUUAUCUUGAGGCGUAAUGUUGAUAAUCCCAAUUUUGAGUUUCCUCUGUGUCAAUCGGAAUUGUGAUGUCGUCAGCUGAUCACACCGUAGCUCCUUUGUGGAGUGGUUCUGCAUGAAGAACGGACACAAAUGAGGGCUGACUCAUCGCUUGUUGGUGUAAUCUUUGUCUAGGCUCGUUUGUUCAAGAUGAAAUUGUUGGCUUACUAAUG